rnacentral:rRNA from 1 species
CCUACGGGUGGCAGCAGUCGAGAAUCAUUCACAAUGGGGGAAACCCUGAUGGUGCGACGCCGCGUGGGGGAAUGAAGGUCUUCGGAUUGUAAACCCCUGUCAUGUGGGAGCAAAUUAAAAAGAUAGUACCACAAGAGGAAGAGACGGCUAACACUGUGCCAGCAGCCGCGGUAAUACAGAGGUCGCAAGCGUUGUUCGGAAUCACUGGGCGUAAAGCGUGCGUAGGCGGUUUCGUAAGUCGUGUGUGAAAGGCUCGGGCUGAACCCGAGGACGGCACAUGAUACUGCGAGACUAGAGUAAUGGAGGGGGGACCGGAAUUCUCGGUGUAGCAGUGAAAUGCGUAGAGAUCGGGAGGAACACUCGUGGCGAAGGCGGGUUCCUGGACAUUAACUGACGCUGAGGCACGAAGGCCAGGGGAGCGAAAGGGAUUAGAUACCCGGGUAGUC